rnacentral:rRNA from 1 species
UCAUGCCAAUGGCAUUGCCCGGUAGCUAAAUGCGGAAGAGAUAAGUGCUGAAAGCAUCUAAGCACGAAACUUGCCCCGAGAUGAGUUCUCCCUGACCCUUUAAGGGUCCUGAAGGAACGUUGAAGACGACGACGUUGAUAGGUCGGGUGUGUAAGCGUAGCGAUACGUUGAGCUAACCGAUACUAAUGAACCGUGAGGCUUAACCUUACAACGCCGAAG